rnacentral:rRNA from 1 species
GUGCCAGCCGCCGCGGUAAUACGUAGGUGGCGAGCGUUGUCCGGAAUUACUGGGCGUAAAGGGCGUGCAGGCGGCAUGGCAAGUCAGAUGUGAAAUCCCCGGGCUUAACCCGGGAGCUGCAUUUGAAACUGUCGUGCUUGAGUGCAGGAGAGGAAAGCGGAAUUCCUAGUGUAGCGGUGAAAUGCGUAGAUAUUAGGAGGAACACCAGUGGCGAAGGCGGCUUUCUGGACUGCAACUGACGCUGAGGCACGAAAGCGUGGGGAGCAAACAGGAUUAGAUACCCUGGUAGUCCACGCUGUAAACGAUGGAUACUAGGUGUGGGGGAGCUACAACCUCCGUGCCGCAGCAAACGCAAUAAGUAUCCCGCCUGGGGAGUACGGUCGCAAGGCUGAAACUCAAAGAAAUUGACGG